CGAAAAGUUCUGGUAUAGGCGAUUCGUGAAACAGAAAAAGAAAACGAAGUGGAUACAAGGUGCCGUCAGUGAGAUGACAGAGCACUUGGGUUGUGACUGGACUUUUGUGUGACUCAGUUUGGCGGCUGACGUGACAACGCUAUCUGUGCUCCCGAAAGCGGACGAACGUUUUCGACCCUUUUUGGUCUGGAAGGAAGACGACGAGGGAGAAAGAGUCAAGUAAAAGAGGCGACGCCAAGGAGUCCUAGAGUGAAGCCGCAGCGACCGUUGAAUGCAUCACUUGCAAGUCCUGCUGUUCGUGGUUUUUCGUGAAUGGCUUUGGUGGGGGGCGGCAGCGACGGAGGCAGUUUGUCCCGAGGGUCACUUUCCCUGCAAGACAGGCAAGGACUGCGUGCGGCGACAGUUCAUUUGCGACGGCAGGGCUGACUGUCCCGACAGCUCUGACGAGCUCAGCUGUGGAGACGAACAUAUCCGAGAGUUCUUCGAGAACUAUUUUCAGAAGAGACUUGAUGAAGACCGGGAGAAGAGGAGCGAGAAAUGCGAUUGGGUGUACCCGGGAUGCCGAUGCCUGGAACGAAGCUUUUAUUGCGAAAAUACGGGCCUCACUCAGCUGCCAGCGACGGUGCCGACAGAUGCUAUCGAUCUGGAUCUGUCCGGCAACGUCUUCACAACGCUUCGUACGAACGACUUUCCAGUAAUGCUCUCCCUUGAGUCACUGUCACUGUCCUCGUCAAAGGUCGAAGAGCUGUCCGAAAAAGUGUUCGAGAAUCUUCCAAGCUUGAAAGAAGUAUACCUCAUGGGAAAUGACAUUGUCUGGCUGCGGGACCACACUUUCGAAGGAAGCAAGGAACUGGAAAAUCUUGUAUUGUCACACAACGCUAUUCGAGACAUAUCACCCGAAGCAUUUAGCGGUCUUGAAAACCUCAGCGUUUUGGACCUCAGAAGUUGCGCCUUGAGAAGGAUCCACCCCAAGCUAUUUCGCCACCUCGAAAGUCUGACAAGCCUGUGGCUUGACGAAAACUCAAUCGAAAGCUUGCCCCGUGACACUUUCGCUGCUUUGAAGAACCUUGAAAUACUGUCUCUAACAAAGAACAAGCUGUCUCGUCUAUCCUACCCGUGCUUUGGUGGCCUCUCUAUGCUCCUCACCUUAAACCUGGCGUACAACAAGAUUCGCACCCUGGAAACGCCGUUCCUUGGUUUGGACGAACUGCUGAACAUAGAUCUGGAAGGGAAUCUGCUGGACUUCGUUCCUACUGAAACAUUUCAGCCACUGAAGAAGCUGCAAUCAUUAAACAUAAAGAAGAAUAUACUUCGAAGCUGCUCGCCACAAGUGUUCGCGCACCUCCAGAAUCUGACGCACAUUUACUUCAGCGAGUUCAGCAUGUGUUCAAUGGCGCUGCACGUCCGCGUCUGCGAACCACGCGGCGACGGCAUCAGCAGCUUGGCUCAUCUGCUGGACAACGUCGUUCUGCGCGUAGCCGCCUGGAUUGUGGCCAUCAUCGCCUGCGCCGGAAACCUGCUGGUGCUCGUCGGGAGGGUCAUGUUCAGAGAACACAACGAGGUUCACUCGUUCUACAUCAAGAACCUUGCCCUGGCCGACCUCCUCAUGGGCGUGUACCUUCUGGUAAUAGCCGCGCAUGACGUGCGCUUUCGCGGCGAGUACAUCCGACACGAUUACCGGUGGCGCCACUCGUGGGGCUGCAGCGCGUCCGGCCUCAUAUCGACGGUGAGCAGCGAGGCGUCCGUGUUCACCCUGACUGUCAUCACGGUGGACAGGUUCAUCUCCAUCCUCUAUCCACUGUCCAUCAAGAAGCGCACGCUGCGGUCGGCCACCUGCUGCAUGAUCUGCGUGUGGCUCACCACAUUCAUCAUGGCCGCCGUCCCCAUGCUGUGGCCGGACUACUACGGGCAAGACUUCUACGGCAGCAACGGCGUCUGCUUGCCCCUACACAUCCACGAUCCGGGAACAAAAGGUUGGGAAUACUCGGCGUUUGUGUUCUGCACGGUGAACACCAUCGCAUUCAGCUUCAUCGCGUACGCCUACCUGAGCAUGUUCGUCACCAUCAAGCACUCGAAGGUCGGCCUGCGCUCGACUCAGCAGCUGCACGACCGCGCCAUCGCCAAGCGCUUCGCAUUCAUCGUGGGCACCGAUUUCAUGUGUUGGAUGCCCAUAGUCAUCAUCAAGAUCAUCGCCAUCGCAGGGAUACCGAUCGACGAGACCCUGUACGCCUGGGUGGCCGUGUUCCUGCUGCCGGUGAACACCGCCCUGAACCCGGUGCUGUACACGCUGACGACGCGUCUGUUCAAGCAGCAGAUGCACUGCUUCCUCGCCAAGCUGCGCGAAUGCCGGCAGGCGUCGGCCGAGCGCCACUCGGCCCAGUCGUGGUCCUCGCUGCCCUACGACCGGAGCUUCAAGCGCCACUUUCCUUCCACAAGCUCUGACGUGAGCUUCCCACUACGCUUUCCCCGUUUCACCGCUUUCGCCACAGUAGAGACCGACAUUCUGCGAAAUCCUGGGUCCUCUAGCAGCUCACGAUCGGAACCUUGAGGCCCUCGUCACCGCUGAGGCCGCACUGCGUGCUCACCCAGGCGCGGCACUUCGCACUGCGCGAACAGAACGCACAGCACGGCAAGGUCCCCAAACGGCGCGAAGACUUUGUGUAGGAAAGUGGCGCGAAUGCACGCGCGCAGAGCAGACCGCAUUGUACACUUUACCCUCUUCGAGUGUUCACUUCAACGCCGAACGAAAACGACCGCUCGAACUACGACCACUCAGUGUGAAAUAACAGAUCACUGCCUCCGGUGAAGUUGGCCUCCCGUCGACUCGAGCUCCCUCAGACUCGUCCUCGACCUCAUCCUCACUCCAUCGCCGCCGCCGCCACUGGAAUCCUUGAAACAGUGCUCACCAUGCUGUCAGUGACCUACACGCUUUCUCUGGAAUAAGCGAACUGUGCCAACCGCGCUUGACGCAUAUCACUUCAUCUAUUGCUGUUCAAAAAAGAACUUUUGCGUAUCGAAAAUGUCGUAUGUAAUACAAAACGUGAUGAAA